rnacentral:rRNA from 1 species
GAUGAACGCUGGCUACAGGCUUAACACAUGCAAGUCGAGGGGAAACGACGGGGAAGCUUGCUUCCCCGGGCGUCGACCGGCGCACGGGUGAGUAACGCGUAUCCAACCUGCCUCUGACUGAGGGAUAACCCGUCGAAAGUCGGCCUAAUACCUCAUGGUAUCGUCUGCGGGCAUCCAACGACGAUUAAAGAUUUCAUCGGUCAGGGAUGGGGAUGCGUCUGAUUAGCUUGUUGGCGGGGUAACGGCCCACCAAGGCUACGAUCAGUAGGGGUUCUGAGAGGAAGGUCCCCCACAUUGGAACUGAGACACGGUCCAAACGCCUACGGGAGGAAGCAGUGAGGAAUAUUGGUCAAUGGUCGAGAGCCUGAACCAGCCAAGUAGCGUGCAGGAAGACGGCCCUAUGGGUUGUAAACUGCUUUUAUGCGGGGAUAAAGUGAGGGACGUGUCCCUCAUUGCAGGUACCGCAUGAAUAAGGACCGGCUAAUUCCGUG